rnacentral:rRNA from 1 species
UACAGAGGAGCCAAGCGUUGUCCGGAUUGACUGGGCGUAAAGCGCACGCAGGCGGUUGCGCGCGGGGGGUGUGAAAUCUGGCCGCUUAACGGCCAGGCGCCAUCCCAUACGGCGCGACUGGAGCGAUGCAGAGGUCGGUGGAAUUGCCGGUGUAGUGGUGAAAUGCGCAGAUAUCAGGAGGAACACCGGUGGCGAAGGCGGGUCUCUGGGCCGAUACUGACGCUGAGGAGCGAAAGCGUGGGGAGCGAACAGG